UGGGGAAUAUUGGACAAUGGGGGAAACCCUGAUCCAGCAAUGCCGCGUGAGUGAAGAAGGCCUUCGGGUUGUAAAGCUCUUUUGCCAGGGACGAUAAUGACGGUACCUGGAGAAUAAGCCCCGGCUAACUUCGUGCCAGCAGCCGCGGUAAUACGAAGGGGGCUAGCGUUGUUCGGAAUCACUGGGCGUAAAGCGCACGUAGGCGGCUUUUCAAGUUAGGGGUGAAAUCCCAGGGCUCAACCUUGGAACUGCCCUUAAGACUGGGAGGCUUGAAUCCGGGAGAGGUUGGUGGAAUUCCGAGUGUAGAGGUGAAAUUCGUAGAUAUUCGGAAGAACACCGGUGGCGAAGGCGGCCAACUGGACCGGUAUUGACGCUGAGGUGCGAAAGCGUGGGGAGCAAA
rnacentral:rRNA from 1 species